GGGUUCAGUUUUCUCUUCCUGCCGAACCUACUAAUUCUUUUGAAAGGGGUGACCUUAAGGAACACCCGGUCGCCUUGUUCAAACGCUAAAUCUCUUCUCUGGGUGUCCGCAUAACUCUUCUUCCUGCUCUGAGCCGUUUGAAUGUUCUUUCUGAUUUUAACUAUUUUAGACGUGGUCUCCUCCACCAACUCCGGGCCGAACAAUUUUAUGUCGCCCACUUCUUCCCAACAAAUCGGUGAUCUGCAUGGGCGCCCAUAUAACGCAUCGUACGAAGCCAUA
rnacentral:lncRNA from 1 species